AUCUCCUGUUCUGUGUACAGACCGCUUGGGAUGGCGACAUCAGACAUGUAAGAAAAAAAAGGUAAAGGCUUGCUACUCAAAGUAUGGGCCACACACCAGCAGCACUGGCAUCGCCUGGGACCCGGUUAGAAAUGGAGAAGCUCAAGCCCCACCCCAGACCUGCUGCAUCAGAACCUACAUUUCAGAGUCUCCACAGAAUCCAGGUGGUGUUGGGCAGUUUUACAUCCAGAGUUCUCCACAAUUCAGCCAGAUGCCUGGAAAUCCCAAAGAACAAGAGGGUUCAGGAGAAUGGCUUAUCCUAGGCCCACCAUGACCAUGACCUUCCUAAAAUCUGGAAUCCAAUCUGCAAGUGAUUUUCCUCUCUGCUCAGGUUUUCAGGCUAUCAAAAGACUUACUCUCUGAUUUCAUAACAGUAAGUCCCAAGGUUUUAUAAUCUCAAAUUACCAUGCCUCAGCAUGGACUUCAAGACAAACUGGUCCUAAUUGAUCUUUUCAGAUCCCUGUCACAUAUCUGCGCUCUAGCUACCCCAGACCAUUCAUCUUUACCAAACAAUGGACUUUGACAACUCUACACUUCUGCUUAUUGCCUGUCCUUAAACUGGAAGGCCCUUUCCCAAAUGCUUCCCUGCCUGACAAAAUCCUUCAAGGUCCAGCUCCAAUGUCAUCUCCUCUGUGAAACUUUUGCUGCUUCUUUACCAUGUCUCUCAUGAGAGUUCUCGUAACACUUUCACAAUUUCUUCUGUAUAGAGGUUGCCUCGAUCUUACAUGUACUAUUUUCAGUUCUUUGUAUGUGUCCAUCUGUUCCCUCUGAAGGCAGGGAUUAUAUUUGGCUUUUCUUCUAUGAACCCCUCAGGGUCUAGCACAAUGCCAGGCUUACAGAAGGAAUUCAAAGAUAUAUUUAUUCAAUCCAGUCUAUGGUCCUCAAGUUUUGGACAAGUCCAAGCUGAGAAAUAAAGCUUUGAUUCUCCUUAGAAGAAGUCUCUUCUUUUAUUUACUUAUUUUAAAAUUUUUA